rnacentral:rRNA from 1 species
GAUGAACGCUGGCGGCGUGCCUAAUACAUGCAAGUCGAGCGAAUGGAUUAAGAGCUUGCUCUUAUGAAGUUAGCGGCGGACGGGUGAGUAACACGUGGGUAACCUGCCCAUAAGACUGGGAUAACUCCGGGAAACCGGGGCUAAUACCGGAUAACAUUUUGAACCGCAUGGUUCGAAAUUGAAAGGCGGCUUCGGCUGCCACUUAUGGAUGGACCCGCGUCGCAUUAGCUAGUUGGUGAGGUAACGGCUCACCAAGGCAACGAUGCGUAGCCGACCUGAGAGUGUGAUCGGCCACACUGGGACUGAGACACGGCCCAGACUCCUACGGGAGGCAGCAGUAGGGACUCUUCCGCAAUGGACGAAAGUCUGACGGAGCAACGCCGCGUGAGUGAUGAAGGCUUUCGGGUCGUAAAACUCUGUUGUUAGGGAAGAACAAGUGCUAGUUGAAUAAGCUGGCACCUUGACGGUACCUAACCAGAAAGCCACGGCUAACUACGUGCCAGCAGCCGCGGUAA